rnacentral:rRNA from 1 species
UACGGGGGGGGCAAGCGUUGUUCGGAAUUACUGUGCGUAAAGGGCUCGUAGGCGGCCAACUAAGUCAGACGUGAAAUCCCCAGGCUCAACCUGGGAACUGCGUCUGAUACUGGAUGGCUUGAAUCCGGGAGAGGGAUGUGGAAUUCCAGGUGUAGCGGUGAAAUGCGCAGAUAUCAGGAAGAACACCCGUGGCUAAGGCGGUUCUCUAGUACGGUACUGACGCUGAGACGCGAAAGCGUGGGGAGCGAACAGG